rnacentral:rRNA from 1 species
GACGAACGCUGGCGGCGUGCCUAAUACAUGCAAGUUGAGCGCUGAAGGUUGGUACUUGUACCAACUGGAUGAGCAGCGAACGGGUGAGUAACGCGUGGGGAAUCUGCCUUUGAGCGGGGGACAACAUUUGGAAACGAAUGCUAAUACCGCAUAAAAACUUUAAACACAAGUUUUAAGUUUGAGAGAUGCAAUUGCAUCACUCAAAGAUGAUCCCGCGUUGUAUUAGCUAGUUGGUGAGGUAAAGGCUCACCAAGGCGAUGAUACAUAGCCGACCUGAGAGGGUGAUCGGCCACAUUGGGACUGAGACACGGCCCAAACUCCUACGGGAGGCAGCAGUAGGGAAUCUUCGGCAAUGGACGAAAGUCUGACCGAGCAACGCCGCGUGAGUGAAGAAGGUUUUCGGAUCGUAAAACUCUGUUGGUAGAGAAGAACGUUGGUGAGAGUGGAAAGCUCAUCAAGUGACGGUAACUACCCAGAAAGGGACGGCUAACUACGUG